ACCAAGCCGACGAUCAAUAGCUGGUCUGAGAGGAUGAUCAGCCACAUUGGGACUGAGACACGGCCAAAACUCCUACGGGAGGCAGCAGUGGGGAAUAUUGGACAAUGGGCGCAAGCCUGAUCCAGCCAUGCCGCGUGAGUGAUGAAGGCCCUAGGGUUGUAAAGCUCUUUCGCCGGUGAAGAUAAUGACUGUAGCCGGUAAAGAAGCCCCGGCUAACUUCGUGCCAGCAGCCGCGGUAAUACGAAGGGGGCUAGCGUUGUUCGGAAUUACUGGGCGUAAAGCGCACGUAGGCGGACAUUUAAGUCAGGGGUGAAAUCCCGGAGCUCAACUCCGGAACUGCCUUUGAUACUGGGUGUCUCGAGUAUGGAAGAGGUAAGUGGAAUUGCGAGUGUAGAGGUGAAAUUCGUAGAUAUUCGCAGGAACACCAGUGGCGAAGGCGGCUUACUGGUCCAUUACUGACGCUGAGGUGCGAAAGAGUGGGGAGCAAACAGGAUUAGAUACCCUGGUAGUCCACGCCAUAAACGAUGAUAGCUAGCCGUCGGUGUGCAUGCAUAUCGGUGGCGCAGUUAACGCAUUAAGCUAUCCGCCUGGGGAGUACGGUCGCAAGAUAAAACUC
rnacentral:rRNA from 1 species